UACGAAGGGGGCUAGCGUUGCUCGGAAUCACUGGGCGUAAAGGGUGCGUAGGCGGGUCUUUUAAGUCAGGGGUGAAAUCCUGGAGCUCAACUCCAGAACUGCCUUUGAUACUGAAGAUCUUGAGUCCGGGAGAGGUGAGUGGAACUGCGAGUGUAGAGGUGAAAUUCGUAGAUAUUCGCAAGAACACCAGUGGCGAAGGCGGCUCACUGGCCCGGUACUGACGCUGAGGCACGAAAAGCGUGGGGAGCAAACAGG
rnacentral:rRNA from 1 species